rnacentral:rRNA from 1 species
GACGAACGCUGGCGGCGUGCUUAACACAUGCAAGUCGAACGGAAAGGCCCUGCUUUUGUGGGGUGCUCGAGUGGCGAACGGGUGAGUAACACGUGAGUAACCUGCCCUUGACUUUGGGAUAACUUCAGGAAACUGGGGCUAAUACCGGAUAGGAGCUCCUGCUGCAUGGUGGGGGUUGGAAAGUUUCGGCGGUUGGGGAUGGACUCGCGGCUUAUCAGCUUGUUGGUGGGGUAGUGGCUUACCAAGGCUUUGACGGGUAGCCGGCCUGAGAGGGUGACCGGCCACAUUGGGACUGAGAUACGGCCCAGACUCCUACGGGAGGCAGCAGUGGGGAAUAUUGCACAAUGGGCGGAAGCCUGAUGCAGCAACGCCGCGUGCGGGAUAACGGCCUUCGGGUGUUAAACCGCUUUCGCCUGUGACGAAGCGUGAGUGACGGUAAUGGGUAAAGAAGCACCGGCUAACUACGUG